rnacentral:tRNA from 3 species
GUUAUCGUAGCUUAAAAUAAAGCAUGACACUGAAGAUGUUAAGAUAGGCCCUAGAAAUGCCUCGAAAACA